CUCGUGAAGACCAUAAAUUAGUGAUAUGACAAUGUGUAAGAUAUAUAUGUAUAUGAGAUUAUACGUAGCAAUAACAAGUGUAUGUCUAAAUUGAGCAAUAUAUCUAAGGACGAACAGAUUCUAGAUCCAGAUAUUCUUUUCGAUGCAAUAAAUUUAAUAGAUCCAAACAAACGGAGAAGAAAGAGACCACUAGUAAAAAACAUCGCUACAGCCGCGUGAAUUUUCGUGGGUAUGACCAAAAUUUCGUGGCUAUACGGAGUAGAAACCGCGAAAUGCUACGAAACGUAAAACGUACGUAUAUGAACGUAACAAAAAGAGCGCGUAUCAAAAAUCGUAGCAAAGUG
rnacentral:lncRNA from 1 species